ACCAUUUUGUGGUUUGUAAGUGCAAUGAUUGGGUUUUCACGUUCAUGUGUGAGAUGUGCCUGCCUCAAACCUUGUUCCAUCAUUGGCACAUUAAACAUCUGACA
ensembl:snoRNA